AGCAGUGUUUAAGUACCUGGCUGCUAACCAGAAGAUUGGUGGUUCAAAUCCACCUACUGCUC
rnacentral:tRNA from 1 species